AGCGAACGCUGGCGGCAGGCCUAACACAUGCAAGUCGAACGCACCGCAAGGUGAGUGGCGCACGGGUGAGUAACACGUGGGAAUGUAUCCUUUGGUUCGGAAUAACGUCUGGAAACGGACGCUAAUACCGGAUGAGCCCUUAGGGGGAAAGAUUUAUCGCCGAAGGAGCAGCCCGCGUCUGAUUAGGUAGUUGGUGGGGUAAAGGCCUACCAAGCCGACGAUCAGUAGCUGGUCUGAGAGGAUGAUCAGCCACACUGGGACUGAGACACGGCCCAGACUCCUACGGGAGGCAGCAGUGGGGAAUAUUGGACAAUGGGCGCAAGCCUGAUCCAGCCAUGCCGCGUGAGUGAUGAAGGCCUUCGGGUUGUAAAGCUCUUUCGCACACGACGAUGAUGACGGUAGUGUGAGAAGAAGCCCCGGCUAACUUCGUGCCAGCCGCCGCGGUAAUAC
rnacentral:rRNA from 1 species